UCGCGUCAUGCGCCGUAGGCAGGAGCGGGGGACCCAAGGUAGGCGCCGGGCCCAGCGAUUGACGCUGGACCGGCUGGGGGUGAAGCCGCGGCUCGCGAGAGCGAGUGCGCGGCCGGGCAACUCAACCGGCCCGAACCCGACAGCUCACCUCGCAGGCGUCGGUGAGGGGAUCG
rnacentral:sRNA from 1 species